AGAAAAGAAAGGAAAAAAACUUCAAUCUUGCAUGUACCACUUGUAUUUUCUUGAGAGAUGCAUUCACGUCCAACAAGAUCCACUAACGGGAUAUUCCCAAAUGUUGCUUUGUAUCGCCAACCUGGUUAUCUCUUGUGGGAGCCAUAACUGUUGUAGAUUGGUGAUGUAAAACAUUUUAUUGAUCCUAGCCGAUGAAGAGAACCGUUGCCACAAGAACACAAAGGAGAAUGAAAAACAGAACGGGAAGAAGUAUGCUAGGAUCUAAUUCAGCACAUCAGAGUGAUAGAGAAAGAAGAAGGUAGUGUGAAAAGGAAGAAGUAACAACAUAAUUACAUUCAUCUGUUAUCAUAUUAGAAAUCAAAGAGCAACACGAUGGUAAUGUAUUUCAUUGAUUCAAUGAAUUGAAUGAAUAGACUUGAAAUGGAUUGAAUGAAUUCUUGUUUACAAAUGAAAGUAAACUAUAUAUACAAGGAAAUAAAUGUUAACUAACUAAAACACCUAAAACUAAAUUGCUAACCACCAACUAUCUUCUAAAAUAUCUUCAAUUUUGGAAUUUAGGACCGCCGUGCCCAUGCCCAUGCCCAUGCCCAUGCAAAGCCCCCUACAUUAGGAUGGGCGUGGACAUGCCCAUUUUUAAAUAGCGCAUGAAAUAUCAUGCACUGCCCCCCUAAACUUGGACAUGGCGGACUUGCGGGCUGCCCUAAAUAAAACUUAAAAAAUAUAUACAAACUUAUGUACAUUUCAUUGCAAAAUAAACAAUAUAUAAUAUGAAAAUAUACAAAUGCAUUUAUCAUAAUAAAUAAUCAUACUAAUAGAAUAAUACAUACAAAAUAUUAAUGGAUAUAUAAUACAAAAUAUGCAAAGUACAUAAUUUACUUGUAAAAUACAAAAGGAAUAAUACAUUUGCAUAUAUAAUAUACAAAAUACAAAUGCAUAUACAUAAUAUGAAAACAAUAAUAUUUUCUUACAUUUGAUAUACAAAUGUAAAUAUAACAAAUAGAACACACUUUCUCACAUUUGACAAAAUACAUAUAUAUUUGUAUAUUUGAUAUUCAAUAUUUUAUCUGAUAAUGCCCAUGGGCAGCCCAUUUUGCUCGCUUGAAAUGCCUGCAGGCGAAUAAGGCAUGUUCGGCAGACAUUUUAGGGUGGAUGAACAUAUUUUUCAUGUCCUCUCCGCCCAAUAAGUGCGGGCGGGUGGGCCUCAUGGGCUUUGCCGAAAUUGCCAAUGCUAAAUAGGAAGCAUGAUUUGGAGUGAAGAAAUCUGAUUUAGGAUAUAAGAUUUCGUUUGCUAGUGGAUACUAAUAUGGUACGUAGGAAAAUCUUAAGUGACUAAAACGAGUGUUGUCUUGGAAUUGGUGAGAAGGAAGAAGAUACCACAAAACGAUGUUAUUUCGUGUCUCAAUUUUUUUAAAAUCAAAACAACAUCAUUUCGUAGAGUUGGUAAAAUUUUCCAGCACGAAAAUGUGCCGUUAACAUGUCAAGUCCGUGAUUCUGUUAAAGUUAACAUACAGGGAUAACAGAAGAACUAAUGCAAGUUUAUGUUUUAGAAUUUGGAGACCAAAAUUAUAACUUAAAUUUAUUAGAAACAGAGUUGGGAGGGCCAAAAUGGAUAAUUAUUCUUUAAGUUUUAUAGUUUUACUUUAGGGUUCCAAUGGUGGACAAUAUGAAAGAGAUAAGAUAGUUAGAAUUUUAGGGAUGUUUAAAAUUUAAAAUUUGAUAUUUUGUUCAAGGAAUGAUUUUAAAAUUUCAUAAAAUUAACCUUGUCAAUUAUAAUAAUUCUACUAGAGUCAAAUAUAAUAUUUUUCGUAUUAGUAAUACUAGUAGUUUAUGACCGUGGGUUAGAAAAAAAUCACAUUAAUUUUUUUUGAUGAAUAUAAGACUUUUGUUAAUAUUUUUCGUAUUCGUAUUAGUAAUACUAGUAGACUCUACAAUGGUGGUUGAAACUUUUCUUGGCAGGAAAUUGAUUCCUUGGAGACGAAGCAACUUCAUGAACUAGUGCAGAGAGCUCAUGAAAUCUAUGCAAAUUAAUGUCAGCCACAUUUUUAGAGAGGGGAAUGCUUGUGUAGAUAAACUAACCUCUUUUGAAGUGACUUCUCACACAGAUUCUUG
rnacentral:lncRNA from 1 species